GGGUUGUGAGGUUAAGCGACUAAGCGUACACGGUGGAUGCCCCGCAGUCAGAGGCGAUGAAGGACGUGCUAAUCUGCGAAAAGCGUCGGUAAGGUGAUAUGAACCGUUAUAGCCGGCGAUGUCCGAAUGGGGAAACCCAGUGCAAUUCGUUGCACUAUCGUUAACUGAAUACAUAGGUUAACGAGGCGAACCGGGGGAACUGAAACAUCUAAGUACCCCGAGGAAAAGAAAUCAACCGAGAUUCCCCCAGUAGCGGCGAGCGAACGGGGAGCAGCCCAGAGUCUGAAUCAGCUUGUGUGUUAGUGGAACGGUCUGGAAAGUCCGACGGUACAGGGUGAUAGUCCCGUACACCAAAAUGCACAGGCUGUGAACUCGAAGAGUAGGGCGGGACACGUGGUAUCCUGUCUGAAUAUGGGGGGACCAUCCUCCAAGGCUAAAUACUCCUGACUGACCGAUAGUGAACCAGUACCGUGAGGGAAAGGCGAAAAGAACCCCGGCGAGGGGAGUGAAAAAGAACCUGAAACCGUGUACGUACAAGCAGUGGGAGCCCCACCACUAAGCCAGUGGUGAACUCCACAUAUGCAUCCUUUGCUGAAGGUGCGGUUAACGGAGCGUAAGCGACGUUCAACCUCAAAAGAAGCAGAGGGGGCUUAGUGGUGGGGUGACUGCGUACCUUUUGUAUAAUGGGUCAGCGACUUAUAUUCUGUAGCAAGGUUAACCGUAUAGGGGAGCCGCAGGGAAACCGAGUCUUAACUGGGCGUUAAGUUGCAGGGUAUAGACCCGAAACCCGGUGAUUCAGCCAUGGGCAGGUUGAAGGUUGGGUAACACUAACUGGAGGACCGAACCGACUAAUGUUGAAAAAUUAGCGGAUGACUUGUGGCUGGGGGUGAAAGGCCAAUCAAACCGGGAGAUAGCUGGUUCUCCCCGAAAGCUAUUUAGGUAGCGCCUCGUGAACUCAUCUUCGGGGGUAGAGCACUGUUUCGGCUAGGGGGCCAUCCCGGCUUACCAACCCGAUGCAAACUACGAAUACCGAAGAAUGUUAUCACGGGAGACACACGGCGGGUGCUAACGUCCGUCGUGAAGAGGGAAACAACCCAGACCGCCAGCUAAGGUCCCAAAGUCAUGGUUAAGUGGGAAACGAUGUGGGAAGGCACAGACAGCCAGGAUGUUGGCUUAGAAGCAGCCAUCAUUUAAAGAAAGCGUAAUAGCUCACUGGUCGAGUCGGCCUGCGCGGAAGAUGUAACGGGGCUAAACCAUGCACCGAAGCUGCGGCAGCGACACUAUGUGUUGUUGGGUAGGGGAGCGUUCUGUAAGCCUGCGAAGGUGACCUGUGAGGGUUGCUGGAGGUAUCAGAAGUGCGAAUGCUGACAUAAGUAACGAUAAAGCGGGUGAAAAGCCCGCUCGCCGGAAGACCAAGGGUUCCUGUCCAACGUUAAUCGGGGCAGGGUGAGUCGACCCUAAGGCGAGGCCGAAAGGCGUAGUCGAUGGGAAACAGGUUAAUAUUCCUGUACUUGGUGUUACUGCGAAGGGGACGGAGAAGGCUAUGUUAGCCGGGCGACGGUUGUCCCGGUUUAAGCAUGUAGGCUGGUUAUCCAGGCAAAUCCGGAUAAUCAAGGCUGAGGUGUGAUGACGAGGCACUACGGUGCUGAAGUAACAAAUGCCCUGCUUCCAGGAAAAGCCUCUAAGCAUCAGGUAACAUCAAAUCGUACCCCAAACCGACACAGGUGGUCAGGUAGAGAAUACCAAGGCGCUUGAGAGAACUCGGGUGAAGGAACUAGGCAAAAUGGUGCCGUAACUUCGGGAGAAGGCACGCUGGUGUGUAGGUGAAGUCCCUGCGGAUGGAGCUGAGACCAGUCGAAGAUACCAGCUGGCUGCAACUGUUUAUUAAAAACACAGCACUGUGCAAACACGAAAGUGGACGUAUACGGUGUGACGCCUGCCCGGUGCCGGAAGGUUAAUUGAUGGGGUUAUCCGUAAGGAGAAGCUCUUGAUCGAAGCCCCGGUAAACGGCGGCCGUAACUAUAACGGUCCUAAGGUAGCGAAAUUCCUUGUCGGGUAAGUUCCGACCUGCACGAAUGGCGUAAUGAUGGCGGGCUGUCUCCACCCGAGACUCAGUGAAAUUGAACUCGCUGUGAAGAUGCAGUGUACCCGCGGCAAGACGGAAAGACCCCGUGAACCUUUACUAUAGCUUGACACUGAACAUUGAGCCUUGAUGUGUAGGAUAGGUGGGAGGCUUUGAAGCGUGGACGCCAGUCUGCGUGGAGCCAACCUUGAAAUACCACCCUUUAAUGUUUGAUGUUCUAACGUUGGCCCCUUAUCGGGGUUGCGGACAGUGUCUGGUGGGUAGUUUGACUGGGGCGGUCUCCUCCCAAAGCGUAACGGAGGAGCACGAAGGUUAGCUAAUCUGGUCGGACAUCAGGAGGUUAGUGCAAUGGCAUAAGCUAGCUUGACUGCGAGCGUGACGGCGCGAGCAGGUGCGAAAGCAGGUCAUAGUGAUCCGGUGGUUCUGAAUGGAAGGGCCAUCGCUCAACGGAUAAAAGGUACCCGGGGAUAACAGGCUGAUACCGCCCAAGAGUUCAUAUCGACGGCGGUGUUUGGCACCUCGAUGUCGGCUCAUCACAUCCUGGGGCUGAAGUAGGUCCCAAGGGUAUGGCUGUUCGCCAUUUAAAGUGGUACGCGAGCUGGGUUUAGAACGUCGUGAGACAGUUCGGUCCCUAUCUGCCGUGGGCGCUGGAGAAUUGAGGGGGGCUGCUCCUAGUACGAGAGGACCGGAGUGGACGCAUCACUGGUGUUCGGGUUGUCAUGCCAAUGGCACUGCCCGGUAGCUAAAUGCGGAAGAGAUAAGUGCUGAAAGCAUCUAAGCACGAAACUUGCCCCGAGAUGAGUUCUCCCUGAGACUUUAAGUCUCCUGAAGGAACGUUGAAGACGACGACGUUGAUAGGCCGGGUGUGUAAGCGCAGCGAUGCGUUGAGCUAACCGGUACUAAUGAACCGUGAGGCUUAACCUUACAACGCCGAAG
rnacentral:rRNA from 1 species